rnacentral:rRNA from 1 species
UUAAGCUACAAAGAGCGUAGGGUGAAUGCCUAGGUACCAAGAGCCGAAGAAGGACGUGACAAGCUGCGAAAAGCCACGGGGAAGAGCAAAUAUCUAGCGAGCCGUGGAUAUCCGAAUGAGGAAACUCACAUAGUGAAAAUAGACUAUGUAUUUAUAUGUAAGUAAAGUAGCAUAUAAAGGGGAACGUGGGGAACUGAAACAUCUUAGUACCCAUAGGAAAAGAAAGUAAAAACGAUUCCUAAAGUAGUGGCGAGCGAAAUAGGAAGAGCCCAAACCAAGAGUAGAAAUACCCUUGGGGUUCGGACUACAAUAAGUUAUCUAUAAUUCUAGUAGAAUUGUCUGGGAAGGCAAACCAUAGAAGGUGAGAGUCCAGUAUAUGAAAGGAAAGUAGAGACUAGUAGAAUCCAGAGUAGUGUGAGACACGAGAAAUCUUGCAUGAAAGAGCGGGGACCAUCCCGUAAGGCUAAAUACUACUUGGUAACCGAUAGAGAUGAGUACCGUGAGGGAAAGGUGAAAAGGACCCCGGGAGGGGAGUGAAAGAGAACCUGAAACCCUAUGUUUACAAGCAGAUAAAGCGAAUUAAGGCGCGAUAUCGUACUUUUUGUAGAACGGUCCAGCGAGUUAUUGUAUAUGGCAAGGUUAAGUACUAAGUAAGGUACGGAGCCGAAGUGAAAGCGAGCCUGAAUAGGGCGAAUUAAGUCAUAUGUAAUAGACCCGAAACCGGGUGACCUAUCCAUGGUCAGGAUGAAGCUAGAGUAAAAUCUAGUGGAGGUCCGAACUCAUAAGCGUUAAAAAGCUUCGGGAUGAACUGUGGAUAGCGGAGAAAUUCCAAUCGAACUCGGAGAUAGCUGGUUCUCCUCGAAAUAGCUUUAGGGCUAGCCUUGAGGGAAGAUAUGUGGGGGUAGAGCACUGAAUGAGGUAGGGGCCUAACCAGGUUACUGAACUCUAUCAAACUGCGAAUACCAUGUAUUAAUACUCAGGAGUCAGACUACGGGAGCUAAGUUCCGUGGUCAAAAGGGAAAGAGCCCAGACCGACAAUUAAGGUCCCAAAGAUAUAGUUAAGUGGGAAACGAUGUGAAUUUGCGUAAACAACCAGGAUGUUGGCUCAGAAGCAGCCAUUCAUUCAAAGAGUGCGUAACAGCUCACUGGUCGAGUGAAUUUGCGCGGAAAAUUACCGGGGCUAAACUAUACACCGAAAUUACGGAUUUGUAAAUGAAAAUUUAUAAGUGGUAGAGGAGCAUUCUGUGGUAGGGCGAAGCUAAAGCGAGAGCAUUAGUGGACGAAGCAGAAGAGAGAAUGCUGGAAUAAGUAGCGAGAGCGAGGUGAGAAUCCUUGCCGUCGAAAGUCUAAGGUUUCCUGGGGAAGGUUCGUCCGCCCAGGGUAAGUCGGGACCUAAGGAGAGGCCGAAAGGCGUAUCUGAUGGAUAGCAGGUGGAAAUUCCUGCACUAUAGCCAUACUUAAAAGAUGCAAGGGACGCAGGAGAGGAAGAUAACCGAGGAAGAGGAAAAACUCGGAUCGAAAGAUGGAGUGAAAAUAGAAGUAACGAAGUAUCAAGAAUCACACUGACGAGAAAAGCUUGUAGAGAUUGUAUGGAAAUACCCGUACCGCAAACCGACACAGGUAGAUGAGGAGAGGAUCCUAAGACGAACGGGAGAAGCAUUGUUAAGGAACUCGGCAAAAUAACCCCGUAACUUCGGGAGAAGGGGAGCCUAUGUAAAAGUAGGCCGCAGUGAAAAGGCCCAAGCAACUGUUUAACAAAAACACAGGUUUCUGCUAAAUCGAAAGAUGAAGUAUAGGAGCUGACGCCUGCCCAGUGCUGGAAGGUUAAGGGGAAAUGUUAGGAGCAAUCCGAAGCAUAGAACUGAAGCCCCAGUGAACGGCGGCCGUAACUAUAACGGUCCUAAGGUAGCGAAAUUCCUUGUCAGGUAAGUUCUGACCCGCACGAAAGGCGUAAUGAUUUGAACACUGUCUCGACAAUGUACCCGGCGAAAUUGUAGUACUAGUGAAGAUGCUAGUUACCUGCGACAAGACAGAAAGACCCCAUGGAGCUUUACUGCAGCUUGAUACUGGGUUUUGGUAAUUUAUGUACAGGAUAGGUGGGAUACAUUGAAGCAAGGGCGCCAGCUUUUGUGGAGUAGACGUUGGGAUACCACUCUUAAAUUAUUGAAAUUCUAACCUGUGAUCAUGAACUGGUCAGGGGACAAUGUCAGGCGGGCAGUUUGACUGGGGCGGUCGCCUCCUAAAGAGUAACGGAGGCGCCCAAAGGU